ACUCGCGCUACCCUCUCCCGCCCGAACGUCAGUACGAAAAAAUACGCGGCGCCAUUACGACAUUGCAUUUAAAAUAACCUAAAAUUUUUUUUAAUUUAAAAUGUGCUUAUAAAGUAAUAUAGUGUCUGUAUAUUAAAGUGGACAUUUGUGACAUUUUUAAACAAUGUUUAAAUUUUUAUUACUAAAUGUUAUCGCAUAUUAUUUUAAAUUCACGAGCAACACUUCAAGACUAAUUUCCUAGAUCAGAAGAGAAAUUAGUGCAAUGAAGGUGUAAGGUGCGGGAUGCGCGAUGCGGUGGUCAGGCGGCGGUGCGGGGGGCGGCUAGCAUGGCGGUGCUGCUGCUAGGCUGGC